UACGGGGGGGGCAAGCGUUGUUCGGAAUUACUGGGCGUAAAGGGUUUGUAGGUGGCCGGCUAAGUCAGACGUGAAAUCCCUCAGCUUAACUGGGGAACUGCGUCUGAAACUGAUCGGCUCGAGUGCAGGAGAGGAACGCGGAAUUCCAGGUGUAGCGGUGAAAUGCGUAGAUAUCAGGAGGAACACCGGUGGCGAAGGCGGUUCUCUGGGCAUGUCCUGACGCUGAGGAGCGAAAGUGUGGGGAGCGAACAGG
rnacentral:rRNA from 1 species